GACGAACGCUGGCGGCGUGCUUAACACAUGCAAGUCGAACGAUGAAGUUCCUUCGGGAAUGGAUUAGUGGCGAACGGGUGAGGAACACGCGAACAAUCUGCCCCUUACACGGGAAUAACUUCGGGAAACCGAAGCUAAUACCCGAUAUUGAAUUCGGUAGGCAUCUACUGAAUUUGAAAUGGUCCGCCGGUAAGGGAUGAGUUUGCGGCCUAUCAGCUUGUUGGUGAGGUAACGGCUCACCAAGGCGACGACGGGUAGCCGGCCUGAGAGGGCGACCGGCCACACUGGGACUGAGACACGGCCCAGACUCCUACGGGAGGCAGCAGUGGGGAAUAUUGCGCAAUGGACGAAAGUCUGACGCAGCAACGCCGCGUGAGGGAUGACGGCCUUCGGGUUGUAAACCUCUUUCAAUCGGGACGAAGCGAAAGUGACGGUACCGAUACAAGAAGCACCGGCUAACUAUGUGCCAGCCGCCGCAGGAA
rnacentral:rRNA from 1 species